ACACCCAGAAACCCCAGUAAAUGGAUGACCUACAUUUGAGGUUUCUCAGAAGAUGAAUUUCUGAGCUACAGGAUAUAAAUAAUGUGCUGUCUAAAAUUUAUAGUACUGUUCAGUAUUUGGUAAUCUCAAGUAAAAA